rnacentral:rRNA from 1 species
GGUGGCGAGUGGCGAACGGGUGAGUAAUACAUCGGAACGUGCCCUGUCGUGGGGGAUAACUAGUCGAAAGAUUAGCUAAUACCGCAUACGACCUGAGGGUGAAAGCGGGGGACCGUAAGGCCUCGCGCGAUAGGAGCGGCCGAUGUCUGAUUAGCUAGUUGGUGGGGUAAAGGCCCACCAAGGCGACGAUCAGUAGCUGGUCUGAGAGGACGAUCAGCCACACUGGGACUGAGACACGGCCCAGACUCCUACGGGAGGCAGCAGUGGGGAAUUUUGGACAAUGGGGGCAACCCUGAUCCAGCAAUGCCGCGUGUGUGAAGAAGGCCUUCGGGUUGUAAAGCACUUUUGUCCGGAAAGAAAUCCCUUGCCCUAAUACGGCGGGGGGAUGACGGUACCGGAAGAAUAAGCACCGGCUAACUACGUGCCAGCAGCCGCGGUAAUACGUAGGGUGCGAGCGUUAAUCGGAAUUACUGGGCGUAAAGCGUGCGCAGGCGGUUUUGUAAGACAGGCGUGAAAUCCCCGAGCUCAACUUGGGAAUGGCGCCUGUGACUGCAAGGCUAGAGUAUGUCAGAGGGGGGUAGAAUUCCACGUGUAGCAGUGAAAUGCGUAGAGAUGUGGAGGAAUACCGAUGGCGAAGGCAGCCCCCUGGGACGUCACUGACGCUCAUGCACGAAAGCGUGGGGAGCAAACGGGAUUAGAUACCCUGGUAGUCCACGCCCUAAACGAUGUCAACUAGUUGUUGGGGAUUCAUUUCUUCAGUAACGUAGCUAACGCGUGAAGUUGACCGCCUGGGGAGUACGGUCGCAAGAUUAAAACUCAAAGGAAUUGACGGGGACCCGCACAAGCGGUGGAUGAUGUGGAUUAAUUCGAUGCAACGCGAAAAACCUUACCUACCCUUGACAUGCCACUAACGAA